rnacentral:rRNA from 1 species
AGGGGCCACGGCAGGUCAGUAUGCCCCGAAAACUCUGGGGCCACACNCGGGCUGCAAUGGUAGCGACAAUUGGUUUCGAAUCCGAAAGGAUGAGGUAAUCCACAAACGCUACCACAGUUAUGANUGAGGGCUGCAACUCGCCCUCACGAAUAUGGAAUCCCUAGUAACUGCGUGUCAUUAUCGCGCGGUGAAUACGUCCCUGCUCCUUGCACACACCGCCCGUCGUUUCAUUGAAGUGAGCUUUUAGCGAGGUGACGUCUGAUUGGCGUUAUCGAACUUGAGGUUCGUGACAAGGGAAAAGUCGUAACAAGGU